CCGAGUUGCCACCCCGGAAGCGGAAGUCGGGCCUUGGGGGGUCAUGGUUCUCCCGCGCUCCGGGUGGGCUCGUGGUGAGACGAGGGUGCGCAGAACGCUGUGCGCAGUUGGCUGCACUCUGAACCGGAACAGGAAGAGCUGCCGGCGGGCCACCUGCCCCGAGUCUCAUUAAGUAGCAUUGGUUGGUCUAGAACUCAAGAUCUUCCUGUCUCCACUUCCCAAGUAAUGGAAUCACAAGUGCAUACUACCACACCUGACUCUAUAUCUCGUCCCGUCAACUGGACACGGCAUUCUUGUUCCUCCAUGCUGUAAGGUUGGAGUCCUGUGGGGAUGUAAUUGAAAGAAGGAUGUGCCUACACCAGCUUCUAUCUCAGCAAGCAGCUGAAAUUCCAUCUCCUCCAAAGAAACCUUCUGGGAACCUCACUGGGAAAGGAGAGAUGCAUCUACAAUCCUAUUACUGAAACAACAGCCUAAUAGUCCAUGAACCCUUAACCCAAAGACCUUUGUCCUGUUGGGUGUUGACAGCUGCAGGGAAAACAAUUAGCUUUGGCCCUGUGCUGAACAAGCACUGGUUUAUUUGCUUUUCCCACGCCCUUUCAAGCCAAAGGUAGUAAAACUUCUUCAGUAAUAUGACCCCUGUGAGAACUCUGAAAGGAAUUAGUGACAUCACAGUGGAUUUUCAGAAGAAAGUAUGUGAAUUUUAUUAGUUCUUCAGCAAUUGCAUAUUGAUAAGUAAGUUGAUUUAAAAGCAACUUAGUCAUUUAAAAGAAACUGUAGUUUUGCUGCAAUUGAUGUAUAGAAGGGAAUAAAGAAGGUGAUGAGCCAGACGGUGAAACACCCCUGCCACCUAGUGGUUCUUUACUCUGGAACAUUUGGGCUCUUUGAAAGCACAGAAAACAAAACAAAAAGAAAGAAAUUAGCUUGUUCAGGAAACAAAUGCAGCAAAUGUCCUAAACUGGAAACUUCCAUUUCCUCCUCCAAUUGUCCAGUCAGAGCUGAGAGAAACUGGAAAUGGUGUGGGUAAACAUGGAUGGCCACUAGGGCUCUAGCACCAAGUGGCAACUGGUUGCAAAGGGAAUAAAAGAGCAGACACAGGGUCAACAGUGUGACAGGGUCCCUUGGGAGUAGUCACUGCAGCAGCACUGGGGUCCGAGGCAAAGCUGAUUCAGAGACAGCGUUCAAAGGGAUGAUAGGACGAUGAUGGUGAAGUCAUGAGGACUUAGGAUCAUUAGGCCACAGGAGCUCUGGACACUGUGGUCAUGAGACGGCAAUAAAGUGCUUGAUUGAAAGUGAAUAAUUAGGACACCUAUGUCCACAAUAGUAAAGGGAGAGUGGUCCUUAGAUGUGGCAGUAUAUUCAUUCCAUGUACUCCCAUAGAUUCCCACGUUCAAAGAUAUUGAAGUUCCUGUAUAAAAUGGCAGAAGUACUGACUGGUGCACCUCAGCUUGCAUACUUUAAGGCAUUCCUAGGUUGUCUAUUAUACCUAAUAAAGUGUAAAUGGUAUCUAAGUAGUCUGUACAUGUGUAGUACAGGUGCAAUUAAAAAUAUUUCCUGUGAUUGACUGAGUCAGUGAGUGCAGAACCCAUAAGAAAAGAGGGCCGGUUACA